AUUGAACGCUGGCGGCAGGCCUAACACAUGCAAGUCGAGCGGAGCGGAGAACGGGAGAGUAAUGGCUAGGAAACUGCAUGGUAGUGGGGGAUAACGUACGGAAACGGGCGCUAAUACCGCAUACUAAAAGAUGAGCCUAGGUCUGAUUAGAUAGUUGGUGGGGUAAAGGCCUACCAAGGCGACGAUCCGAAACUGGUCAGAGAGGAUGAUAAGCCAAACUGGGACUGAGACACGUCCCAGACUCCUACGGGAGGCAGCAGUGGGGAAUAUUGCACAAUGGGCGCAAGCCUGAUGCAGCCAUGCCGCGUGUAUGAAGAAGGCCUUCGGGUUGUAAAGUACUUUCAGUCGGGAGGCGUUACCGACAGAAGAAGCACCGGCUAACUCCGUGCCAGCAGCCGCGGUAAUA
rnacentral:rRNA from 1 species